UAAGAAUAUCUGGAAUAUGAAUACCGAUGUAAAUCAUUCAUUUUAUGAGUGAAAAAUCUUUGUUUUCGUCAAAGAAUAGAAAAUGGCUGUCUUUGUUGCCCAGGCGAACAGCUGGAAGCAUUCUAUCACCUCUACACUGCGUACGAUAUAUGCUCAUUAAUAAACAACAAUAUUUUGUAUAAAUCGGUUAGUUAAUUAUAAAUAUAAGAUAAAGAGUUUCACCUAUUCUACCUUAAUUAAGAUUAGAUAGUAUUUAAAGCUUUGAAGAUCGAUUAUCAAUAGCAUUAUUUUUGGCGGAAGGUUAUCAGCCAUUUUGCUCUCGGCGGAACGAUUUACAGGGAUGUAAUGCGGUUGGUUAUAAAGGAGAGGCGCAGGAGCUGGAGCUCCGCUGGACCCAAAGUGGGUGAGAGGAGAACUUCGUAUUGUAUGUGGUUGGUAUUGAAAACUGGUUUAAGAAAAAAAUAUCACAAAAGGGAAGGUAUAACUUCAGUGCUUAUCAACAUUGCCUAUUCAUCUAUCUAUAGACUUUUUAUACUUUUUUACUCAAGCAAGAUAACAUAUUGAUUGUAUGUCUACCUGACGAAAGGUGAGUGUGUCAGCCCUACUGGCCGACUGCCCUGCAGCCCUCUAUCCCUCUUAUUCGUGAUUAUGUUUAUAUAUUCUAUAUCUCAUUGACGGAUAUAUUAAAAUUAGUCAAUAUUUAUAAGGAAUGUUAAACAAUUUUUUCUAAUUAUACUUAAAAGGAAAUUUGUUCUUCCUUAUACUAAUAUCGUAACCGGCAUCUUAAACUAGUUUUACUCUGCUACUUCAUUCUUGGAGUGUCAAUAUGUUAGUGAAUUAUACAUUUUCUAUUGUAUUUGUUUCAAAUAUUGUUACUUUUCCUUUAAUAUUAUUAUUAGUAUUGCAUAUUAAUGACGAUCUAGAAGAAAGUUUUUCCGAUAAUAACACGCUCCAGUUGGGAUAUAGUUAAUGAGCUUUGAGGAAUUUUUUUUCUUAUAUGCUUGGUACUAGCUACGAUUAUUAACCGUUACGUCAUUUGUGUGCACAUACAACAAAAUGAACACCUGUCAUCUGGAUGUAUAGGUAGUGAACAUGUUUAAAUUGUCAUCUUAUAUUUGGAAAUUUUUCUUUUUAAACAGUUUUCUAUAUAUGUGUUUGACUUGAACAGAUGUUUGUUUGAUUUUUGUUCGAAUGUGUGAUUGCAUGGAAGAUUAUUGAUUUUCGAUUAAAAUUCCUAAUUUAGAUUUUCAAGAGUUAAUAUGUUUUUUUUUUUUUUUUUUUCAAAAACAGAAGUGAACAAUCUGCCGAUUUUCAAAUGUUUUAGCUACUUACUAACUAUGGGAGAUUGCAUAUUAUUUUUAUGAUAAUUCUUGAAAUUCUGUGAAUUUAUACGGAAUAAUAAUCGAUUCUGUUAUUUUCGAAAGCUGUUUCUUCGUACUACGCUACACCAUGCUAUUUUAGGACCUCCCCUAUUUCCGGUGUGUUUUUGGUUAUAGAAAAGAGCAAUACUAUUAUUGGAGCUUGAAAGUAUACAGAGUUCGCAUCUCUUAAUGAAAAACUUAUUUAUAUUUUUUGUUUUUAUAUUAGUUUUGAUUUCCGAUUCCUGUUUAGGAACCUUUAUAUAAAGAACUGAUUAGCGGAAAACUAUCGACUUUUUUGUAUUUACACUCGUUGCACAGCUAUUAGUUACCGAUCUGAUUUUUGUGUGGUAACAGCAGUGCCUGGUAUUUAAUAAUUUUAUUCUUAAUCGGUAAAAAUUCCUCGUAAGCAUUACUUUUUAUCGAUUAUGGGAUUUAACAGACCAUGCAAAUUUUUAUUUUCAUA
rnacentral:lncRNA from 1 species